UUUUCUCUUCUUCCUUGAAAGCAUUCAUUUUGCUAUGUUGGUGUGAUCAAUAGGAAAAAAAAAAACACAGGAGAGUUCCCUUCUUUCUUUCUUUCUUUUCUUUUUUUCUUUUUUUUUUUUUAAGAGAAGGGACGAGUAAUUUAUACUGUUUUAGUGUGAAUACAUUUAAAUAAAUUAAAAAAUGACACGUCCUAGUAAUGCUCCCGGAGCAAGCAAACAAUCCAUCCAUGACAUGUUGUCGAAGUGAUGAGAUGUCAUAUUAAUACUGAGCUGCCAUAUUGGAGGCAGGUAGUACUCACAAGGUACUGAUAGAUUCAAUGAAGUUUGUGAUGGUCUGGGAACACCAAAGCUCCACUCUACUCUCUCUCUCUCUC
rnacentral:lncRNA from 1 species